rnacentral:tRNA from 1 species
GGCCUGAUAGUUCAGUGGUAGAAUUCGCGCUUUGGGUGUGCGAGGUCCUGGGUUCGAUCCCCAGUUAGGCCC